rnacentral:rRNA from 1 species
AUUGAACGCUGGCGGCAGGCCUAACACAUGCAAGUCGAGCGGUUGACGGGAGCUUGCUCCCUGAUUCAGCGGCGGACGGGUGAGUAAUGCCUAGGAAUCUGCCUAUUAGUGGGGGACAACGUUUCGAAAGGAACGCUAAUACCGCAUACGUCCUACGGGAGAAAGCAGGGGACCUUCGGGCCUUGCGCUAAUAGAUGAGCCUAGGUCGGAUUAGCUUGUUGGUGAGGUAAUGGCUCACCAAGGCGACGAUCCGUAACUGGUCUGAGAGGAUGAUCAGUCACACUGGAACUGAGACACGGUCCAGACUCCUACGGGAGGCAGCAGUGGGGAAUAUUGGACAAUGGGCGAAAGCCUGAUCCAGCCAUGCCGCGUGUGUGAAGAAGGUCUUCGGAUUGUAAAGCACUUUAAGUUGGGAGGAAGGGUUGUAGAUUAAUACUCUGCAAUUUUGACGUUACCGACAGAAUAAGCACCGGCUAAUUCUGUGCCAGCCGCCGCGGUAACAC